CUCUAGAAAUGUUUUCCGCGUUGGACCGCACACAAGUCUGUUGGAAUACAGCGGCAUAGUGGUGAGACCCCCGUAUAUGGUGCGGACGCCCAGCGCUUUGUGAUACAUUUUCGAAGAGUCGAGUUGUUUGGGAAUGCAGCUCAAAUUGGGUGGUAAAUUCCAUCUAAAGCUAAAUAUUGGCGAGAGACCGAUAGCGAACAAGUACCGUGAGGGAAAGAUGAAAAGCACUUUGGAAAGAGAGUUAACAGUACGUGAAAUUGUUGGAAGGGAAACGCUUGAAGUCAGACUUGCUUGCCGAGCAAUCGGUUUGCAGGCCAGCAUCAGUUUUCCGGGAUGGAUAAUGGUAGAGAGAAGGUAGCAGUUUCGGCUGUGUUAUAGCUCUCUGCUGGAUACAUCUUGGGGGACUGAGGAACGCAGUGUGCCUUUGGCGGGGGUUUCGACCUCUUCACACUUAGGAUGCUGGUGGAAUGGCUUUAAACGACCCGUCUUGAAACACG
rnacentral:rRNA from 1 species